AAGACGCAGAAUAAUAUAGACAGCGGAAGGUAAGAGGCAGAAUAAUAUAGACAGCGGAAGGUAAGAGACAGAAUAAUAAAGACAGUGGAAGGUAAGAGACAGAAUAAUAAAGACAUGGGAAGGUAAGAGGCAGAAUAAUAUAGACGGGACGGUGCGAGACAGAAUAAUAAAGACAGGGGAAGGUAAUAUACGUAAUAAUAUAGACAGGGGAAGGUAAGAGGCAGAAUAAUAUAGUCAGGGGAAGGUAAGAGGCAGAAUAAUAUACAUUUACAUUUACAUUUAAGUCAUUUAGCAGACGCUCUUAUCCAGAGCGAGACAGAAUAAUAAAGACAGGGGAAGGUAAUAUACGUAAUAAUAUAGACAGGGGAAGGUAAGACGCAGAAUAAUAUAGACAGCGGAAGGUAAGAGGCAGAAUAAUAUAGACAGCGGAAGGUAAGAGGCAGAAUAAUAUAGACAGGGGAAGGUAAGAGGCAGAAUAAUAUAGACAGUGGAAGGUAAGAGGCAGAAUAAUAUAGACAGCGGAAGGUAAGAGGCAGAAUAAUAUAGACAGUGGAAGGUAAGAGGCAGAAUAAUAUAGACAGCGGAAGGUAAAAGGCAGAAUAAUAUAGACAGAGGAAGGUAAGAUGCAGAAUAAUAUAGACAGAGGAAGGUAAUAUACAUAAUAACAUAGACAGGGGAGAAUAAUAUAGACAGGGGAAGGUAAGAGACAGAAUAAUAAAGACAGGGAAGAUAAGA